GGGGGUGUAGAACAGUUGGAGUGUUCGCUUGCCUGUCACGCAAGAGGUCGCGGGUUCGAGUCCCGUCACCCUCGCCA
rnacentral:tRNA from 3 species